ensembl:lncRNA
AUGCAGAGAAUGAUUUCAGAACUGUUGAAGGAGAAACUGUCAGUCUGCCCUGCCACUCACCCCCUAAUGACAGCGUACAAGUUUCUGUAGAGUGGACAAAACAUAGUGCAAGCAGCACACCUAUUUGUAAAUGGAAUAUUAAUAACAUAACUGGAUCUAUCACUGGAGAAUGCAUUCCUCGUUACAAAUUCAACAACAAGUCUUUUACACUAAGUAUAGAAAAUGUUCAGCUAAGUGACGCCGAUAAUUACAGUUGUAAAACAACAAGAUUAAUUCCACCACCAUCAUUAGACAAUACCACAAAUGUGACACUCCAAGUUGAAGGUAAGUGUCAUACAUAAAUUAUUAUUUUUUAAUUGUUUACUUCUUGUAGGCCAUCUAGCCUGAUGUCAGUAAUAAACAUCAUUACAUUUCUCUCCACUGCAGCACGUCCACAUCUGCAGAAACUGGACAGCAGUAAUGGCACCUGUAUCAAUCUGCUCUGCUCUAUGGAGGGUCCGACGACAGAGUUGGUGAACUUCACCUGGAGCCGAGAGGGUCAUGGGUCACUUCAUCCAUUCACAUCUUAUCCCAUGAAGAGCGAGCUGCGUCUGUGUAAACCUGACUGGAAUGACGGAGACACAAUCACCUGUUACGCCAAUUACUCAAGCACACAAACCCAAAGAAGUAUACAACUCACUUCACAGAAAGAAUCUGUCAAAGAUGUCCUGCUGCUGAUCAUCUCAGUCAGUUCUGCUGCAGGCCUCAUCCUCUGCAUCAUCCUUACCGUUGUUAUUUGCAAAUGCAGAAAGCGAGACGAAAGUGGAUCUAUAGUGUUCAGCAAUAAAGUCUAUGAGAACUUCAGUUUCGCCAUGGCCCGUCAGAACACACAGUCCAAUGAUAAACCACAGACAGAAGAGUGUAUUUAUGAGAACUAA